rnacentral:rRNA from 1 species
UACGUAGGGAGCAAGCGUUUGUCCGGAAUCAUUGGGCGUAAAGCGCGCGUAGGCGGCCCCGUAAGUCCGCUGUGAAAGUCAAAGGCUCAACCUUUGAAAGCCGGUGGAUACUGUGGGGCUAGAGUCCGGAAGAGGCGAGUGGAAUUCCUGGGUGUAGCGGUGGAAUGCGCAGAUAUCAGGAGGAACACCAAUAGCGAAGGCAGCAUCGCUGGGACGG